GAUGAAGAACGUAGCGAAAUGCGAUAAGUAAUGUGAAUUGCAGAAUUCAGUGAAUCAUCGAAUCUUUGAACGCACAUUGCGCCCCCUGGUAUUCCGGGGGGCAUGCCUGUUCGAGCGUCAUUUCACCACUCAAGCCUCACUUGGUAUUGGGCGACGCGGUCCGCCGCGCGCCUCAAAUCGACCGGCUGGGUCUUCCGUCCCCUCAGCGUUGUGGAAACUAUUCGCUAAAGGGUGCCGCGGGAGGUCACGCCGCAAAACAACCCCAUUUCUAAGGUUGACCUCGGAUCAGGUAGGGAUACCCGCUGAACUUAAGCAUAUCAAUAAGCGGAGGA
rnacentral:misc_RNA from 1 species